GACGAACGCUGGCGGCGUGCUUAACACAUGCAAGUCGAACGGAAAGGCCCUGCUUUUGUGGGGUGCUCGAGUGGCGAACGGGUGAGUAACACGAGAGUAACCUGCCCUUGACUUUGGGAUAACUUCAGGAAACUGGGGCUAAUACCGGAUAGGAGCUCCUGCUGCAUGGUGGGGGUUGGAAAGUUUCGGCGGUUGGGGAUGGACUCGCGGCUUAUCAGCUUGUUGGUGGGGUAGUGGCUUACCAAGGCUUUGACGGGUAGCCGGCCUGAGAGGGUGACCGGCCACAUUGGGACUGAGAUACGGCCCAGACUCCUACGGGAGGCAGCAGUGGGGAAUAUUGCACAAUGGGCGGAAGCCUGAUGCAGCAACGCCGCGUGCGGGAUGACGGCCUUCGGGUUGUAAACCGCUUUCGCCUGUGACGAAGCGUGAGUGACGGUAAUGGGUAAAGAAGCACCGGCUAACUACGU
rnacentral:rRNA from 1 species